AACAUUCAAAUGCAGUGGAAAGGUGCCUUGUGAUGUGAUGCCUCCUGUCUCACAGCCCCCCUCCUCUGCUUAAAGGACAGCGACACACAAAGACGGACGGUGGGAGAAGCCAGGCAUUCAGGGGAGCUUUGCAUUCUCUGGCUGUCCCAUGCAACAGGCUUGCUGGUGGCUCCAGAUGAUUCCUGUUCAAAUUAGAGCAGAAUUUAAACUGAAAGGACUCUAAAAUGAGUCUGAGGACAUAGAAGCCCAAUUCAGAUUCAUUUCCAGAGGUGGGUCUGCCCCCAGGUCAUUUGGCAACUGAGAGGAAUCACUAUGUCCCAUGGAGGCUCCCAAGGAAACAGAAGACAUUGGACACUGAAGAAGAAAGGUUUCUAUGUUGGAAAUAUCCACAGUGUAGGAACUCAACAGUACUUCUAAUGGAGUGAAAGCUACAGAUGCAAUCCAAAAAUAACAUCAGUUUGCCGUGUUGCUGUUCUCACCUCCCUGCCCCCUGCAGUCUGUUUUUGGGAAACAUCAUCCGGCCCAACCUAUGUCUGAAUAACAUAUACAGGUCAUGUGAGGGGUGGGAGAACAAACCAGUUAUGGAACAGUGACAUACUGAAUCCAGGGUCAGAAUUAUUAUUCUCUAAA